UCCGUGCAGGAAACAGGAAGUUUUUGUUGACCAGUUCAUGGACCAGAAUGCUGGCUGAGAUCACUGGACUGACUUGUAGCUGAGGAAUAUUACUUGUUGGAAAAAUAACAGUCACCAAUUUAUUGUUGAAACAUUGUGAUGGAAGAUUAUAAAGUAAUUGUAGUAGGUGAAAAUGUAUUUUUGAAUUUGUGCCUUUAGUUGUUGUAGCUUCCCAGUAAAAACAGUGUUUUGUUUAAACAUGAGAUUGUGUAAGGCAUGCAUGUUAUUGUU